rnacentral:rRNA from 1 species
UACGGAGGGUGCAAGCGUUAUCCGGAUUCACUGGGUUUAAAGGGUGCGUAGGUGGGCAGGUAAGUCAGUGGUGAAAUCUCCGGGCUUAACUCGGAAACUGCCAUUGAUACUAUCUUUCUUGAAUACCGUGGAGGUCAGCGGAAUAUGUCAUGUAGCGGUGAAAUGCUUAGAUAUGACAUAGAACACCAAUUGCGAAGGCAGCUCGCUACACGAAUAUUGACUCUGAGGCACGAAAGCGUGGGGAUCAAACAGG